UUUCACUCCUACAACAUCCUCACCUAUAGUGCCAGUUUCAACAACAACUGAUGCAUCAACAACAACUUUGUCUGACACCACAACAACAACAACUGAUGCAAUAACAGUUUUGGCUUCCACAACCACACCUCUGAAAUCGACCACUAUAGCACCAGCAUCAACAUCUGAUGCAGAAACCACAACUAUGUCAGACACCACAACAACAAUUGAUACAACAACAUCUUUGGCUUCCACAACCACGUUUCUAACAUCCUCAACGGUUGAACCAACGUCAACAACAUCUGAUGUCGCAACCACAAGUUUUCCUGAUACCACAACAAUGAUAGGUGCAACAACAACUUUGGCUUCCACAAUCACUCCUACAUCAUCCUCAACUGUAGUGCCAGUAUCAACAACAACUUAUGCAUCAACAACAACUCUGUCUGACACCACAACAACUGAUGCAACAAUAGUUUUGGCUUCCACAACCACACCUCUGACAUCGACCACUAUAGCACCAGCAUCAACAUCUGAUGCAGCAACCACAACUAUGCCUGACACUACAACAACAAUUGAAACAACAACAUCUUUGGCUUCCACAACCACCUCUUCAACAUCCUCAACGGUUGAACCAACGUCAACAACAUCUGAUGCAGCAACCACAAGUAUUCCUGAUACCACAACAAUGAUAGAUGCAACAACAAAUUUGGCUUCCACAUUCACUCCUACAACAUCCUCAACUGUAGUGCCAGUAUCAACAACAACUGAUGAAUCAACAACAACUAUGCCUGAUACCACAACAACAAUUGAUACAACAACAACUUUGGCUCUCACAACCACUGCUCCAACAUCCUCUAAUAUUGCACCAAUUUCAACAACUGACGCAGCAACCACAACUCUGUCUGACACCACAAAAGCAUCUGAUGCAACAAAAACUUUAUCGACCACAACCACACCUUCAACACAAUCAACUCUAGCACCAGUGUCAACAACAACUGAUGAAUCAACCACAACUCUGUCUGACAACACAACAAUUACUGAUGUAACAACAACUUUGGAUUCCACAACCACCCCUCUAAUGUCAACCACUGAUGCAUCAACCAUAACUCUGUCUGACGCCACAACAACUCCUGAUGUUACAAGUUUGGCUUCCACAACCACUCCUCCAAAAUCCUCAACUAUAGCGUCAAAAGUGGAGGCAGCAACCACAACUAUAUCUGACUCCACAAAAACUAUUGAUGCAACGACAACUUUUGCUACAACAAGUGAUGCAUCAACAGCAACUCUGUCUGACACCACAACAACUAUUGAUGCAACAACAACAAUUUUGGCUUCCACAACCACACCUCUGACAUUGACAACUAUAACACCAGCAUCAACAUCUGAUGCAGCAACCACAACUAUGCCUGACACCACAACAACACUUGAUACAACAACAUCUUUGGCAACCACCUUUCCAACAUCCUCAAUGGUUGAACCAACUUCAACAACAUCUGAUGCAGCAACCACAAGUAUACCUGAUACCACAACAAUGAUAGAUGCAACAAUAACUUUGGCUUCGAAAAUCACUUCUACAAUAUCCUCAACUGUAGAACCAGUAUCAAAAACAACUGAUGCAUCAACAACAACUCUGUCUGACACGACAACAACAACUGAUGCAACAACAAUUUUGGCUUCCACAACCACACCUCUGACAUUGACAACUAUAGCACCAGCAUCAUCAUCUGAUCCAGCAAUCACAACUAUGCCUGACACCACAACAAUAAUUGAUACAACAACAACUUUGGCUCUCACAACCACCGCUCCAACAUCCUCUAAUAUUGCACCAAUGUCAACAACUGAAGCAGCAACCACAACUGUGUCUGACACCACAAAAGCAUCUGAUGCAACAACAACCACCCCUCCAACACCCUCAACCCUAGCACCAGUGUCAAAAACAAAUGAUGCAUCAAAAACAACUCUGUCUGACACUACUAUAACUACUGAUGCAAAUACAAUUUUAGAUUCCACAACUACCACUCUAAAGUCAACCACUGAUGCAUCAACCACAACUCUGACUGACACCACAACAACUACUCGUGCUACAAUUUUGACUUCCAAAACAAUCCCUCCAACAUCUUCGACAGUAGGACCAACGUCAACCACAACUGAUGAAUCAACCACAACUCUGCCUGACACCACAACAUCUACGGAUGCAACCACAUCUUUGGUUACCACAACCACCUUUCCAACAUUCUCAACUGUUAAACCAUCAUCAAAAACAAGUGAUGCAUCAAAAACAACUCUGUCUGACACCACAACAACAACUGAUGCAACAACAGUUUUGACUUCCACAACCACCUUUCCAACAUCCUCAACUUUAACAAAAGCUUAUGCAGCUACCACCAGUAUGCCUGACACAACAACACCUACAGUUAAAACAAUAACUUUGGCUUCCACAACCACCCCAACAUCCUUAACUAUAGCACCAACUCCUGAUGCAGUAACAACAACUUUUCCUGACACUACAAAACCUACUCAUGCAACAACAACUUUGGCUUCCACAACCACUGCUCCAGCAUCCUCAACUGUAGCACAAUUUUUGACAACUGUUGCAGCAACAACAACUAUGCCUGACACUACAAAACCUACUAAUGCAAAAACAAUAUUGGUUUCAACAACCUCCCCUCCAACAUCCUCAACUGUAGCACAAACACUGACAACUCAUGCUACAACCACAACUAUGUCUGACAGCACAACAACUAUUGAUGCAACAACAACUAUGGCUUCCACAAACACCCCUUCAACAUUCUCAACUGCAGUACCAACGUCAACAACUGUAACACCAAUGUCAACAACUGAUGCAGCAACCAUAACUAUGCCUGACACCACAACCACUAUUGAUGCAAUAACAGUUUUGGAUUCCACAACAAUAUCACCAACAUUCUCAGCUGCAGCAAAAAUGCUGACGUCUGAUGCAGCAACCAAAAUGAUGCAUGACAUCACCACAGCUGCUGAUGCAAUAACAUCUUUGGCUUCCACAACCAACCAUCCAACAUCCUCAACUGUAGCACCAGCAUCAGCAACCGCACAUGUGCCAGACACUGCAACAACUAUUGUCAUUGCAGUACCAACAUCGACAACUGUGGCACCAGUGUCAAUAACUGAUGAAGCAACAACCAUUAUGCCUAACACCACAAAAACUACUGAUGCAACAACAACUUUGGCUUCCACAACAACUCCUCCAGCAUCUUCAACUGUAGCACAAAUUUUGACAACUGAUGCAGCAGCAACAACCAUGCCUGACACCACAAAAACUACUGAUGCAGAAACAACUUUGGAUUCCACAACCACCCCUCAAGCGUUAACAGGUCAUGCAACAACCCUAACUAUGCCUGAUAUCACAACGAAUAUUUAUGCAACAACAACUUUGGCCAUAACCACCCAUCCAACAUCCUCAACUGUGGCACCAUUGUCAACAACAAAUGUAGCAUCAACCACAAGUAUGCUUGACACCACAGCAACUACUGAUGUGACAGCAACUUUGGCUUCUACAACCACUUCUCCAGAUUCCUCAACAGUGGCAAAAACAUUGACAACUGAUGCAGCAACCAUAACUAUGUCUAACAGCACAACUAUUUAUGCAACUACUUUGGCUUUUAUAACCACCUCUGUAGCAUCCUCAACUGCAGUACCAACAUCGACAACUGAUGGAACAACAACUAUGCCUGACUUUACAACAAUUAUUGAUGCAACAACUUUAGAUAGCACAUCCACCCUUUCAACAUCUUCAACUGUGGCAACAAUGUCAACAAAAACUGAAGUGGCAACCACAAUUCUCUCUGACACCACAGAAACUACUGAUGCAAAAACAAAUUUGGCUUCCAGAACCAUUCCUCAAAUAUCAUCAACUAUAGCACCAGCAUCAUCAACUGAUGCAGCAACCACAACUAUGCCAGACACAACAUCUUUGCUUAGCGCCAGCAUCCCUCCAACAUCCUCAACUGUAGCAUCAUCAGCUGGGUUAGCAACCACACCUAUGCCUGACAACACAAUAGCACUUCGAAAAACAACUACUGGUGCAACAACAACAAUUUUGGCUACCACAAGCACUACUCCAACAUCCUCAAAUGUAGCACCAACAUUGACAACUGAUUCGGCAACUAAAACUAAGCUUGAAUCCUCAACCACUAUUGGUGCAACAACAAGAACCCCUCAAAUAUCCUCAACUAUGCUCAAGCCUUACAUCACAACAAUUAUUGAAACAACAACAAAUUUGGUUACCAAAACCACUAAUCCAACAUCCACAACCACAGCACAGGUGUUGACAAGUGACUCAGCAAUGACAACUAUUGCUGAUGCAACAACAGUACUUCCAACAACAACUAGUCAUGAAACAACAACCUUGGCUAUCACUAGCACCCCUCUAGAGUCCUCAUCUAAUGUAGCAACCACAACUUUGCCUGAACAUACAACACAUACUGGUGCAAAUACAACAACAACAACAACAACAAAUACUAUUGAUGCAGCAGUCACAACUAUGUCUGAAAUAACAACAGUGUUUCCAACAAAUGCUACUAUUGUUGAGACAACUACAACUUUGGUUUCCACAACAACAAACAAUCCUACAACAAUUACUGCGGCUGAAACCACAACAUAUCUUCCAAAUACAGCUACUGGCGAGACAAUAGCAAAUUUGGCCACAUCUCCAACAUCCUUAUCUAUAGCACAAAAGUUGACUGACACAACCAUCCCUUCAACAUCCUCAAAUAUAGCACCAAAAUCAACAACUGAUGCAGCAACCACAACUUCACCUAAAACAACAACAGUACUUUCCAAAACAACUAUUAGUGCAACAGCUUUGGCUGCCAAAAGUACCCCUCCAGUGUCCUCAUCUGUAGCACCAACAUUGACAACUGAUGCAGCAAACGCAACUAUGGCUGAAAAAGAAACAGUUCUUCCAACAAAAACUUUUGGUGCAACAACAAAAUUUGUUCUAGCACCAACAAUGACAUCUGAUGCAACAAUCAGAACUUUGCCUGAAACAUCAAUGGUAUUUUCAAAAACAACUAUUGGUGCAACAACAACAACUUUGACUAUUACAAGUGCUCCUCCAGCAUCCUCAUCUUUUGCACCAACUUUGACUACUGGUGCGGCAGUCACAACUAUUCCUGAAACAAAAAAAGUCCAUCCAGCAACAACUGUUGGUGCAACAACAGCUUUGUCUACAUUAUCUGUUCUAGCACCAAUGUCAACAUCUGAUGCUGCUUCCACAACUAUGGCUGACACCACAACAAAUAUUGAUUCAAAAACAUCAACUUUGACUACCACAAGCACUCCUCCAAUAUCCUCAACUGUAGCACAGUUCUCAAAAUCUGAUGCAGCAACCACUACUAUGCUUGGAACGACAACAGUUCUUCCAACAAAGCCUAUUAAUGCAACACCAACAACUUUGGUUAACACAAGCACCCUUGCAACAUCUUCACUUGUAGAACCAAUGUUGACAGCUGAUGCAGCAACCACAACUAUGGCUGACACCACAACAAUUACUGGUGCAACAACAAAUUUGGCCAACACAAGCACCCCGCCAAUACCAUCAGUUAUACCACCAACGUCAACAUUUGAUGUGGCAGCCAAAACUAUGGCUGACACCACAACAAGUAUUGGUGCAACAGCAACAACUUUGACAACCACAACUAUGGCUGACACAACAACAAAUAUUGGUGCAACAACAGCAAAUUUGGUUAACACAAGCACUCCUCCAACAUCCUCAACUGUAGCACAAUUGUUGACAACUGAUUCAGCAACCACAGCUAUUCCUGAAAUAACAGUGGUACUUCCAACAACGAUUGGUGCAACAACAACAACUUUGGCUACCAGAAGUACCCUUUCAACAUUCUCUACUGUAGCUCCAACAUCAACAACCGAUACACCAACUACAACUAUGCCUGAAAAAACAUCAGCACUUCUAACAAAUGGUAUUAUUGUUGAGGCAACUAAAACUUUGGUUUCCACAACAACAAACAAUCCAACAUCUACUAUGGCUGAAACCACAACAACCCUUCCAGUAACUUUGGCCACACUUCCAACAUCCUUGACUAUAGAACAAUCUUUGGCUGCUACAACCAUCCCUCAAACAUCAUCAAAUAUAGCACCCAUGUUGACAACUGAUAGAGCAACUACAACUUCACCCGAAACAGCAACGAUUCUUUCAGCAACAACAAUUGGUGCAACAACAACAACUCUGGCUGCCAAAAGUACCUCUCCAGCAUCCUCAUCUGUAGCACCAACAACUGAUGCAGCAACCACAACUAUGCCUGAAACAACAACAGUCCUACCAACAACACCUAUUGGUGCAACAACAACUUUGACUACAAGCACCCCUCUAACAUCAUCACUUCUAGAACCAUUGUUGACAUCUGAUGAAGAAACAACAACUGUGCCUAAAACAACAGUUCUUGAAACAACAGUUUUGUUUAACAUAAGCACCCUUGCAACAUAUUCAGUUGCAGCACCAAUGUUGACAACUGAUGCAGUAACCAAAACUAUUGGCGCAACAACAACAAAUAUCGCCAACACAAGCAUCCCUCCAUCAUUCUCAUCUUCAGCACCCUUAUCGACAACUGAAUCAACAUCCACAACUAUGUUUGAAACAACAACAGUACUUCCUGUUACAACUACUAGUGCAACAACAACUUUGGCUGGCACAAAUACACUUCCAACAGCAACUAUAGGUGAGACAACUAUAAUCUUGGGUCUCAAAACCACAGUAGCUCCUCCAACAUUCUCAACUAUCACACAAAACACCACAACUCAUUCAGAAACUACAACUAUGCCUGCAAUUAAUACAAGUAUUGGUGAAAAAACUACAACUUUGACCCCCACAAGCACCACAACCCCUCCAACUUUGCUGGAGGAGUCAGUGACAACAACAUCCAAGAAUAUUCAUCCAGCAAGCACAACAAUGUCUGAGAUGAAAAUUACUACCUUCGGUGCAUUAAAAACAGAUAUAACUGAUUCAACAACCACACCUAAUUCUAAAAUCACAACAACUAGUAGUGAAACAAUUACAACCAGAAUGUCCUCCUCAACAUUGUUGGAAGAGCCAACAACAGCACAAUCACAAGCUAUAUCUAAUUUAAAUACAACAACAGUUCCAGUGUUUACAACAACAGCUUUGACUAAUUCUCACACAGAAAAUAAUCCUGCAGUGCACUUCCUAACAUCUACAGCAGUCCUUGGCAAAACAAGCUUACCUCUAAUGAACAGAACUGGUUCAGCACUGGUUACAAGCAAACUGCAGUUUAACUCCUCAUCUCCAGUCCCCAGAGAAACUCAGGUCCUCAGUGUUAUCAAGACUCUUCUCGAAUCCAGAGAGUCACAGCUCAACAAAUCAGUUCAAGUGCUGAAUGUCACCUAUAAAAGUAAGUUUCAUUGUUCUGAGUUGAAAAGUUUUUGA
ensembl:lncRNA